GGUGAGAUGGCCGAGCGGUCCAAGGCGCCAGACUAAGGUUGGAAAAUUCCUCAAUCUCAUCUGGUCUCUUCGGGGGCGGGAGUUCGAAUCUCCCUCUCAUCA